AGCCUGAUGCAGCCAUGCCGCGUGUGUGAAGAAGGCCUUCGGGUUGUAAAGCACUUUCAGUCGUGAGGAAGGUUUAGGAGUUAAUAGCGGAUUUAUUUGACGUUAGCGACAGAAGAAGCACCGGCUAACUCCGUGCCAGCAGCCGCGGUAAUACGGAGGUGGCGAGCGUUAAUCGGAAUUACUGGGCGUAAAGCGCAUGCAGGUGGUUUGUUAAGUCAGAUGUGAAAGCCCGGGGCUCAACCUCGGAAUAGCAUUUGAAACUGGCAGACUAGAGUACUGUAGAGGGGGGUAGAAUUUCAGGUGUAGCGGUGAAAUGCGUAAAGAUCUGAAGGAAUACCGGUGGCGAAGGCGGCCCCCUGGACAGAUACUGACACUCAGAUGCGAAAGCGUGGGGAGCAAACAGGAUUAGAUACCCUGGUAGUCCACGCCGUAAACGAUGUCUACUUGGAGGUUGUGGCCUUGAGCCGUGGCUUUCGGAGCUAACGCGUUAAGUAGACCGCCUGGGGAGUACGGUCGCAAGAUUAAAACUCAAAUGAAUUGACGGGGGCCCGCACAAGCGGUGGAGCAUGUGGUUUAAUUCGAUGCAACGCGAAGAACCUUACCUACUCUUGACAUCCAGAGAACUUUCCAGAGAUGAAUUGGUGCCUUCGGGAACUCUGAGACAGGUGCUGCAUGGCUGUCGUCAGCUCGUGUUGUGAAA
rnacentral:rRNA from 1 species